rnacentral:rRNA from 1 species
AUUGAACGCUGGCGGCAGGCUUAACACAUGCAAGUCGAACGAGUGGCGGACGGGUGAGUAAUGCUUGGGAAUCUAGCUUAUGGAGGGGGAUAACUACGGGCAACUGUAGCUAAUACCGCGUACCAUAGGAUGAGCCCAAGUGGGAUUAGGUAGUUGGUGGGGUAACGGGUCACCAGGCCGACGAUCUCUAGCUGGUCUGGGAGGAUGGCCGGCCAAGCUGGGACUGGAACACGGCCCAGACUCCUACGGAAGGCAGCAGUGGGGAAUAUUGCGCAAUGGGGGCAACCUGACGCAGCCAUGCCGCGUGAAUGAAGAAGGCCUUCGGGGUGUAAAGUUCUUUCGGUAGCGAGGCGUUAACUACAGAAGAAGCACCGGCUAACUCCGUGCCAGCAGCCGCGGUAAUUC